rnacentral:lncRNA from 1 species
UACUUUCUGCACUGUUUAUUGAGAGAAAGAUAACUUUAUACACGGGGAACGGGUGCACUUAAAUUAUAUGACAGAUGACCAUAAAAACGAGGGGUCUUGUCCACAACACAACUUCACUUUAUAUUAUUAUAGUUACUGAUAUUUUAAAAAUGAUGUAAACAAAAAUAUGGAUGUUAUGCCAGAACAAAAGGCAAUAAAAUCCAGAAGACAGAAACAGCACAUACAUAAGUUACCACAGGAGCUAUUACAAAUAGCUCAACACAGAGUUACGUAGUAAUAGCCAAACCCCACAUUUUGGAUCGUUCUGUCCAGCAUGAGCAGAAAUAAGGGAAAAUGACACUGAUCUGACCCAGGAGCAGAAGAACAUGUCGUGCAGAAGCCUUCCACACCCCACAUUCAAUACUUUGCAUUUGCAACCUACGCAUUUUCCCUCCUUUUACUGUUCCUUAAAGAAGACAGAUUUUUUUUUUUCCCCCUUAAAUCUUCUAAGGGAGGCUACUAACUCUUCACGAUAAAAUCCUGAUAGGCGACUAAAAUCAGAACCGGGGUCUCCGGUGGUGAAAGCCUAACGUAAUAGCUUGGUGGACGGCCCAUGCCACACAGAAAUGUUUCUAUUAUAAUUCAUCCAACUGGCUUCCCACUUCCCAUUUGGAAAUCAGGUGGCCAAAUAAAAUAAAAUACCAAAACCCUUUAUAUGGUAAAGGAAAAGAAAAUCCUUGUGUUUGUGUAACUUUUUAACCUGCAACAGGCUAAGGUCACUGACGUUACAGAUUCAAAUCUAAAUAACCGGUUCAAAUUUCUCUACCCAUUGGCCUUGGUGACAUCAUGACAUUCCCCUGAGUUUGGUUAAUGAAAAGCAAGCAAGCAAACAAAAAAAGUGAUCUGAAAAACAGCAUACGACCGAGUUGAAACGUGAUGCGGGUGUAUCUUUUGUAUUUCCUGGUAAAAGCGUCAAUGGCCCCAGGAAGCCGGCGUUCCCACCGUAGUCUACUUUGACCACGUGUUUCCAGCAGACAUCCUUGUACUCAUGAGGUUAAGGCACCAGGUUGCGUGAAGGUGGAAGGUCGACAUGCGUGCGGAAUAUGCGGGCUCCAAGCGUGCCUGUAUGAAGAGCAGCAAGUACAGAAGAAGCGAAGUGACCCAUGUUCAGGCGAAGGGUCCUGCAAGCUUCAAGUGGGUCAGAUAGUCUAGACUAGAAGCACUAGGCAGUACUGUAAGGCACUCCUACGGGGAAAAGAAACGAACGCGACAGCCAACAUGAGAAGGAGCCGCAGGCCCCAGUGGUCCUCCAGCCAGUGUACCAGCCAUGAGGCUUGAAUCUGGUCCAGGGCUCAGGCCUGGGGCAAGGAAAAUCGGGGAUGGGGAGAAAGGCUGGUCUGCAGCUCUAGGGCCUAAGAGGGGCUCUUCCCUGUGCUAAGAGCUGCUGAGGCAGCCAGGUCUUCUACCUGGGUAACAACGGACUCCAGAUCUUUCUAGCAAGAUGGCUUCUCUUUCCACAGGGAGGAACCAAACAAAGCAAAAGAGCAACUAUCUCUUCCCUUGAGGGUAAUGGCACCUUCCAUCACUUUGGAGGCCUCUGUAGGAGGCAAGUGCCCUGUCACAUGGUUGCUUGGAACCUGUUUAAAAUAAAACCCCUGACAACCGUGGGUGUGCCUAGGAGGGUGUUCCAUACUUUUUUGGACUUUAUCUAAAGUCGGUGACAAUGACUUGAGGUACUGGACUUCACUGUCAAAACACUGUCCCACAUGACAGAAAUCAUAUUUGUCUGUUCAAAGAAACCGAGCAGGGCUUGCUCACCCAUCACUGGGUCCAGGUACUUAGGUAGGGCAGUUGGUUCUACUGGACUGACGGUACGGGGUACACAACACCCGGAGCUGUGCUGUUAAUGCCUGGUUCUUAGCAAGGACCAAGGAAAGGAAAACGGCGCUUCCAAUGACUCAAUUCAUGCCAAGGAGAGUGUGUUCACUUCCUUCAGUUUUGCCUCCAAUUCUCUUUUGCAUUAUCUUGGAGGGAAAAAAAGUAGUGGGACAGAAAACUCAAGACAUCAGGGGAGGAGUUCCCUGGUGGCCUAGUGGUUAAGGACUUGGCGUCGUCCAUGCUGUGGCUCAGGUUAUUGCUGUGGCUCAGGUUCCAUCCCUGGCCCAGGGGCCAAAACAAAACAAAACACAAUGAAAGAAGGGGGGAAAUUGCAUGCAGCUCUCUUUCUUGGGAGAAGUAAAAAAAUAAAAUCACCUUUGUGUUGACUCCAAGCAGUAUUAAAUCAGGAGGUGAAGAUUUACUUCACAACGCAGUUAUUUCAAUAAAGUGCGGCCGAUCAGUGGAGGUGAAGAAUUCUGCCCAAACACAGGAACAGCAGCAUUGGCUUAACCCUAAAUCAGGAGCAGAGUGUAUCUCGGCUUCAUCAGAUCUCUUUCCAGAAAGUGUCCAGUGCAACAUCACGCAAUUCCUACCCUGAUAGAAUAAUUUACGUAUGGCCUUUUCUGGCCAAUGGGUAGAGAACAAAGCCACAGGUUUGGAAGCCAAGCCUUUCUGAGAAGGCCUGGGAAGAAACGAUUCAGUGUCAAUGUGUAGUGUGUACAGAUGCUGAGACAAAAACAGGCUAGACCCCUUGCAGGGGGAUUCCAUUGCAGCUUAGAGAAGGCUGCCUGCAGUAUCUAGAGCCAUGGAAAGAGCUCAGCCCUCACUGUGGCCUGCAGGAAAUCACGGCACAGUCCCUUGGGGGAAGUUGGCUGGAAAGCACAAAUCCCAAGUCCCAGCCAUAGCCCCUUUUCAUGGGGGGUCUAGUCUAAAAGAAUCAAAAAGCGAUGACCUUCUCAGCUAAUCAAAUGUUCAAGCUCCCAGGAGUUCCAGUUGUGGCUCAGUGCUAAUGAACCCAGCUUGUAUCCAUGAGGAUGCAGGUUCGAUCCCUGGCCUUGCUCAGUGGGUUAAGGAUCCGGCCUUGUAAGGAGCUGAGGUGCAGGUCUCAGAUGCAGCUCGGGUCCCGUGUUGCUGUGGCUGUGCUGCAGGCUGGCAGCUACAGCUCCGAUUGAACCCCCAGCCUGGAGAACCUCCAUAUGCUGCAGGUGCCACCCUAAAAAAAACAGUAACAAA